ensembl:snRNA U6 U6 spliceosomal RNA
GUGCUCACUUCAGAAGCAUAUGUACUAAAAUUGGAGCAAUACAGAGAAGAUUAGCAUGGUUUCUGUGUAAGGAUGAGCUGGAAAUUUAUGGAUCAUUCCAUAUUUUU